CAGCAUAAUCCCAGUCCCCUACCUGUAUUGGUACCCUCCAGCCUUCCCAGUACCAGCUCCUGUGGUCCAGUAUAUCCUGCGCCCGAGGUAUCGAAGCUUGAUCAAGCCUAUACGGGCCAAAUUCCCCUGCUACCCCAUCCUCAGGAAACCAACAGUGAAGAGCUUUUACAGGAGGACCACCGCAAAACGCAUUUAGAAUGAAGACCCCCAGGUCUCUUCUUCUUGCGGGGAAUGGAACAGCUAACUAGCCCAAAUCAUCUGCUGCUACCAAACCGUGGCUCCAUCCGAAAAGCCCAGUGACACCCCACGGCACUCACCCUCGCCAUCAGACGGAAGGGAACGCUCCCCAAAAACACACACAAAGUGCCCACUGGCCCGGCCACGGAGCUCUCCCCCCACCAGAAACCCACUGCAAGCU